AUAUAGGUGUUCGUACGUUAUAAGCAAAUAUAAUACAUUAUACAUGACCAGUGAACGGUCGAUUUUCACCGAUCGGCGCAGUUGAAUUCGGCAGAUUCUGUCAGGGUCAGUUCUUAUCUUAUAUUAAAUAAUGUUUUUUACCGCCAACGUAUCAGUGAUUGUUCGCAGACUUCUUUUACUUUUAAAUAGGAGAUUUGUUCAGAGGAUUUGAAACAAAUUCGAUUUCUGAUUUGUUUCAGUCUUUAUACAAAUCGUAAUAGGCUUAAUUUUAAAAAUUAUCCAAUUUCCAU